GACGAACGCUGGCGGCGUGCUUAACACAUGCAAGUCGAACGGAAAGGCCCUGCUUUUGUGGGGUGCUCGAGUGGCGAACGGGUGAGUAACACGUGAGUAACCUGCCCUUGACUUUGGGAUAACUUCAGGAAACUGGGGCUAAUACCGGAUAGGAGCUCCUGCUGCAUGGUGGGGGUUGGAAAGUUUCGGCGGUUGGGGAUGGACUCGCGGCUUAUCAGCUUGUUGGUGGGGUAGUGGCUUACCAAGGCUUUGACGGGUAGCCGGCCUGAGUGGGUGACCGGCCACAUUGGGACUGAGAUACGGCCCAGACUCCUACGGGAGGCAGCAGUGGGGAAUAUUGCACAAUGGGCGGAAGCCUGAUGCAGCAACGCCGCGUGCGGGAUGACGGCCUUCGGGUUGUAAACCGCUUUCGCCUGUGACGAAGCGUGAGUGACGGUAAUGGGUAAAGAAGCACCGGCUAACUACGUGCCAGCAGCCGCGGUGAUACGUAGGGUGCGAGCGUUGUCCGGAUUUAUUGGGCGUAAAGGGCUCGUAGGUGGUUGAUCGCGUCGGAAGUGUAAUCUUGGGGCUUAACCCUGAGCGUGCUUUCGAUACGGGUUGACUUGAGGAAGGUAGGGGAGAAUGGAAUUCCUGGUGGAGCGGUGGAAUGCGCAGAUAUCAGGAGGAACACCAGUGGCGAAGGCGGUUCUCUGGGCCUUUCCUGACGCUGAGGAGCGAAAGCGUGGGGAGCGAACAGGCUUAGAUACCCUGGUAGUCCACGCUGUAAACGGUGGGUACUAGGUGUGGGGUCCAUUCCACGGGUUCCGUGCCGUAGCUAACGCUUUAAGUACCCCGCCUGGGGAGUACGGCCGCAAGGCUAAAACUCAAAGGAAUUGACGGGGCCCCGCACAAGCGGCGGAGCAUGCGGAUUAAUUCGAUGCAACGCGUAGAACCUUACCUGGGUUUGACAUGGAUCGGGAGCGCUCAGAGAUGGGUGUGCCUCUUUUGGGGUCGGUUCACAGGUGGUGCAUGGCUGUCGUCAGCUCGUGUCGUGAGAUGUUGGGUUAAGUCCCGCAACGAGCGCAACCCUUGUUCACUGUUGCCAGCACGUUAUGGUGGGGACUCAGUGGAGACCGCCGGGGUCAACUCGGAGGAAGGUGGGGAUGACGUCAAGUCAUCAUGCCCCUUAUGUCCAGGGCUUCACGCAUGCUACAAUGGCUGGUACAGAGAGUGGCGAGCCUGUGAGGGUGAGCGAAUCUCGGAAAGCCGGUCUCAGUUCGGAUUGGGGUCUGCAACUCGACCUCAUGAAGUCGGAGUCGCUAGUAAUCGCAGAUCAGCAACGCUGCGGUGAAUACGUUCCCGGGGCU
rnacentral:rRNA from 1 species